rnacentral:rRNA from 1 species
UACAGAGGGGGCAAGCGUUAUUCGGAAUUAUUGGGCGUAAAGGGCGCGUAGGCGGCCUGGCAAGUGGAAGGUGAAAUCCCUCGGCUUAACCGAGGAACUGCCCUCCAAACUGCCUGGCUUGAGACCGGGAGAGGUGAGUGGAAUUCCCAGUGUAGCGGUGAAAUGCGUAGAUAUUGGGAGGAACACCAGUGGCGAAGGCGGCUCACUGGACCGGUACUGACGCUGAUGCGCGAAAGCGUGGGGAGCAAACGGG